ACCUCCAAUGUGAAAUCCCCGGGCUCAACCUGGGAACUGCAUUCGAAACUGGCAGGCUAGAGUCUUGUAGAGGGGGGUAGAAUUCCAGGUGUAGCGGUGAAAUGCGUAGAGAUCUGGAGGAAUACCGGUGGCGAAGGCGGCCCCCUGGACAAAGACUGACGCUCAGGUGCGAAAGCGUGGGGAGCAAACAGGAUUAGAUAC
rnacentral:rRNA from 1 species